rnacentral:rRNA from 1 species
UACGGAGGAUCCAAGCGUUAUCCGGAUUUAUUGGGUUUAAAGGGUGCGUAGGUGGCUUUUUAAGUCAGAGGUGAAAGACGGUAGCUUAACUAUCGCAGUGCCUUUGAUACUGAAGAGCUUGAAUGAACUAGAGGUAGGCGGAAUGUGACAAGUAGCGGUGAAAUGCAUAGAUAUGACACAGAACACCGAUUGCGAAGGCAGCUGACAAAACUGUAACUGACGCUGAGGCACGAAAGCGUGGGGAUCAAACAGG